UUUCGUGGGGGAAGCCUGUCAGCAAUGCCGCGUGAGGGAAGAAGGCCUUCGGGUUGUAAAGCUCUUUUGUAAGGGAAGAAACACCGGCUCUAACACAGUCCGGGAAUGACGGUACCUGAAGAAUAAGCACCGACUAACUACGUGCCAGCAGCCGCGGUAAUACGUAGGGUGCAAGCGUUAAUCGGAAUUACUGGGCGUAAAGCGUGCGCAGGCGGUUAUACAAGACAGGCGUGAAAUCCCCGGGCUUAACCUGGGAAUGGCGCCUGUGACUGUAUAGCUAGAGUGUGUCAGAGGGGGGUAGAAUUCCACGUGUAGCAGUGAAAUGCGUAGAUAUGUGGAGGAAUACCAAUGGCGAAGGCAGCCCCCUGGGAUAACACUGACGCUCAUGCACGAAA
rnacentral:rRNA from 1 species